rnacentral:rRNA from 1 species
UAGGGCGAAAGCCUGAUGCAGCGACGCCGCGUGAGGGAUGACGGCCUUCGGGUUGUAAACCUCUUUCAGCAGGGACGAAGCGCAAGUGACGGUACCUGCAGAAGAAGCACCGGCUAACUACGUGCCAGCAGCCGCGGUAAUACGUAGGGUGCGAGCGUUGUCCGGAAUUAUUGGGCGUAAAGAGCUCGCAGGCGGUUUGUUGCGUCGGCCGUGAAAACUAGGGGCUUAACUCUUAGCUUGCGGUCGAUACGGGCAGACUUGAGUUCGGUAGGGGAGACUGGAAUUCCUGGUGUAGCGGUGAAAUGCGCAGAUAUCAGGAGGAACACCGGUGGCGAAGGCGGGUCUCUGGGCCGAUACUGACGCUGAGGAGCGAAAGCGUGGGGAGCGAACAGGAUUAGAUACCCUGGCAGUCCACGCCGUAAACGUUGGGCGCUAGGUGUGGGGCUCUUUCCACGGGUUCCGUGCCGUAGCUAACGCAUUAAGCGCCCCGCCUGGGGAGUACGGCCGCAAGGCUA